CCCGCCCCUGACGCUUCAGCGGAAUGCGCCGCUCCGGGAUUGGGCGAGCGGGCUUGUCAAUCAAGCGCGGGCCCUGAGUGGUCCCUGAGCUGAGACUACGCGGCCUUCGGACAGAAGGUCGAACAGCGGUCCCGAGUUCAACCCAGACUACUCUGGUGCCUGCAUCUGAAAGGGCGGACCAGCUACAGAUCUUAGGGACAGGGAGAGACAAAGAAAAUGAAGCCUCGGAGAAAAAUUAAUUGAGAUCAGAAGGCCCACUACUGUAAAGGCACCGUUCCCUGCUCAGGUCCUGGACUGUGUACGUGGAGAAAGGAAGCUGAACAGAUGCCUGAACCCACACCUCUCUGUUCCUGACUAUGGAUGUGAUGGCACCAGCUAUGUCAAACCCUCGCAGCUUUGACUUACCCGCCACGGUCAACUGUGAUUUGAAUUAUAAGCUUAAAUAAGUUCUUUCUCCCUUAAGUUGAUUUCUUAAGAUACUACA